rnacentral:rRNA from 3 species
GCGAUAGCGCGGUGGUCCCACCUGACCCCAUGCCGAACUCAGAAGUGAAACGCCGUAGCGCCGAUGGUAGUGUGGGGCUUCCCCAUGUGAGAGUAGGGAACUGCCAGGC